GUAGAUGCCGUGGAAAGCAGAUACUCGAGAACGGAAGGCUCCCUUGAUGGAACUUAGACAGCAAGGCCAGAUGCACAUCCCUGGAAGGACAUCCAUGUUCCGAGAAGAACAGAUAAUCCCUGUAUUUCAAGACCUCUGUGCACUUAUUUAUGAACCUGCCCUGCUCCCACAGAACACAGCAAUUCCUCAGGCUAAGCUGCCGGUUCUUAAAUCCAUCCUGCUAAGUUAAUGUUGGGUAGAAAGAGAUACAGAGGGGCUGUUGAAUUUCCCACAUACCCUCCUUCCACCAAGUUGGAACAUCCUUGGAAAUUGGAAGAGCACAAGAGGAGAUCCAGGGCAAGGCCAUUGGGAUAUUCUGAAACUUGAAUAUUUUGUUUUGUGCAGAGAUAAAGACCUUUUCCAUGCACCCUCAUACACAGAAACCAAUUUUCUUUUUUAUACUCAAUCAUUUCUAGCGCAUGGCCUGGUUAGAGGCUGGUUUUUUCUCUUUUCCUUUGGUCCUUCAAAGGCUUGUAGUUUUGGCUAGUCCUUGUUCUUUGGAAAUACACAGUGCUGACCAGACAGCCUCCCCCUGUCCCCUCUAUGACCUCGCCCUCCACAAAUGGGAAAACCAGACUACUUGGGAGCACCGCCUGUGAAAUACCAACCUGAAGACACCGUUCAUUCAGGCAACGCACAAAACAGAAAAUGAAGGUGGAACAAGCACAGAUGUUCUUCAACUGUUUUUGUCUACACUCUUUCUCUUUUCCUCUACCAUGCUGAAGGCUGAAAGACAGGAAGAUGGUGCCAUCAGCAAAUAUCAGUGUCUUGAGUGGGUGGGAGAGAGGCUGCUGUCAUUGCGCUGUGGAAUUUCACAGAUGAGAACCACGCCUAGCCAAAAUCACUUUUCCUGUUUGCCUCAGUGACACAGCUGCAGGGACCCUCGUGGAUGUUGUAUUAAAUAAAUUUGACCUUUGCUCUUUGCAGAUCUGUGAAAUGUUGUCUUCUGAGGGGCCACAUGCAUCUAUAGUGCUGAGGACUCCUUGGGCCUCUGAAGUCACAGAGAGAACCGAGCAGGUCUAUGUUUUUGUUUUGUUGUUUUGAGACGGAGAUUCGCUCUUGUUGCCCGGGCUGGACUGCAGCGGCGCAACCUCUGCUCACUGCAACCUCCGCCUCCUGGGUUCAAGCAGUUCUCCUGUCUCAGCCUCCCGAGUAGCUGGGAUUACAGGCACAUGUCACCACGCCUGGCUAAUUUUUGUAUUUUUAGUAGAGAUGGGGUUUCACCACGUUGGCCAGGCUGAUCUCGAAUGCCUGACCUUUGGUGAUCUGCCCGCCUUGUCCUCAUGUGUGCUCCACAGGCCUUUGGGUUGGGAUUGCAGGCGUGAGCCACCAUGCCCAGCCUAGACUCUUUUGACAAUAUGAUGAAAGCUGUUGGUUCCUUUCCCCAACACACACACACCGAGUUGUAUCACGAAAAUGUCAUACAAUUUCCAGGUUUUCUGAGUGGUGGGCUCAGAUUGAGGUCAAAGGAUCAGACGACCUCUAACGACCUUCAUGUCUCUGUUGAUGAUCUGGGGACAGCCAGAUCCCCUGUGUCCAGGGAGUUCCUUAGUCCCUUGCCACCACCAGAGAAGGGCAAUUGCCACGGGAGCUGCAAAGACCCUAUUCCUACUCCUGGUGCCUUACUUAUGCAGCACGACUGAAUUUUUUGUUUUGUUUUGUUUUGUUGAGACAGGGGCUUGCUCUGUUGCCCAGGCUGGAGUGCAGUGGCACAACAAUGGCUCACCGCAGCCUCGAACCCCUGGGCUCAAGCGAUCCUCCCAUCUCAGCUUCCUGGGUAGCUGGGACCAGAGGCGUGAGCCGCCAUAGCUGGCUAAUUUUUAAUUUUUUUUUUGCAGAGAUGAGGUUUCACCAUGGUGCCCAGGCUGGUCUCGAACUUCUGGGCUCAAGUGAUCCUCCCUCCUUGGCCUCGCAAAGUGCUGGGAUUGCAGGCAUGAGCCACCGCCCCCGGCCUGUGGAGCACACAUGAGUUUAAAAUUACUUUCCCUUCUGCCUAUAUUUCCGAGGAGGAAACUUCAUGCGCAGGGAUCUUUCUUAGUGGAUUUAAUGGCUAAAAGGUCUGUCUGAAUCCAGGACGCUGGCUUUAGCCUUCCUCGGCAGCUGCCGUAACCCCGGUGUCUAAACCUGAAGCAUCCCAGGAGCACCCACUCCAGGAGUUUUCUCGGCCGCGGAACUCAUUAGUUAGAGCGCCCUCUUGUGUUCUCAUGUGGUAAUCGGUCACUGAAGGACUUAAAAUGGUCCUUAGCCAACACACAGUAAAACUUUUCCCUCUUCUGACCCCAAGAGGUCAGCCACCCAUUUCAUGAGCAUAUACUGGUCGCCCCAUCAGCGUUCUCUGAUUGGCUAACUGAACCCACUCCCCGACCUAGACUCAAGACAGGCGAAGUGACGCUUAGGUCAACAUUCACUCACUAAAGCAACGACUGUCGGGCGAUUUUGUCUCCCGCUGGUUUUGGAAUGGUGUCUGGAGACAUUUUUGGUUGUCACAGCUGGGUGGGUGUGCUCCCGGCAUCUGGUGGGUAGAAACCAAGCAUGCUCCUAAACAUCCUACAGGCACAGAACCGUCUCCCACGACCAAGCAUGAUCAAGUCCCAAAUGCCAAUAAUGGCCAGGUUGAGAAACUCUGCACAGAAGCAUCCAGUUAUUUGUCUGUUUGCUCAACAAGCUUGUGCUCAUCAUGCUCUGUGUUCCUGACGCUGUGCUGGGUGUUGGCGGUGGGAAGAUUACAAGAGUCACAUGGCAGCUGUCCUCCUGGAAGGUACAACCCAGUAGAGAUGCAGACUAACAGAGAGCCAAUUACAAAGCAGUGUGACAAGCGUCAUGGUGGAAAAUUAAAAGCUCAAACAAGGGCACAUGGGAGGGGCUUCCAACACAGACUUUGGGGGAUCCAGGAAGGUCUAAGAGGAAAGUGGGUCUCACCAAAGCCUUGACCAUAGGCAGAGGGUACCAGUGGAAAAGGUGGGGUGAAGAACAUUGAGGACAAAAGGAAGAAGUGCAGGAAGGCCCUGAGGCAAGGGAGUGGGGGGUGCCCUGGAGGGAUGGCAGCAGGGCAGUCUGUCAGACCCAAGUGGCCUCCAGCCCUAGAAGCCAAUUAGUCCUCCUCAAAAAGCUGUCACUGUCCCCUAAGAAUUGCUGCCAGGCUCCCACUGGCCUGACUCAGUCUUUGAGAGUCUUAAGGAGGAGGUCUCUGAAAGGUACACACCAAGAACUCUCCCCAGCACAGCUGUUUUUAAGACUCUCCACCAGCGUCAUUGGCGUGUUGGGAAGAAACCCUCUGCCACAGAGGCCAGCUUCAGCCUUUGCCUAACACCGCAAGGGCAAAUGGAAAGGUAAACGGGAAGGAGAUGUCUCCCCAGCAGGCUAUUUGAGGACAGUCUUCCCUGCAGAAGAUCUCAACCUGGGGUCCACAGAGUGGAAAUGUUAGAGUAGGGAGCUAGGCAAACAUGAGCAGGACAGGUGAGGGCCCCCACAGGAAUGUCAGGCUACCAUCAGGUGAUGGUCAGGUGGUUGUUAAACUGUCUCUGUAAAAUAAUAAUUGGUUGCAGCCAGCUCCAAGCAAGGACAGUCUCUCAAUAGAUACAAAACACCCUGAUCUGGUGAUCAGCCGCUUCCCGAUAAGAUCUCAGGAGCUGGGCAAGCAGCCUGGAGCAUGCGCACCAAGAGGCAAAAUGGCGGAAUUUAACCAGUAUAUGACCUACCUUCCUCUGGGAACGCACGACUGGUAAGGGGAAAAAUGCCUCAAGUGAGCAUGCGCGCAACUUCAGUAAUCACACUGUGCAUGCGACCCCUUCCAAGUGCUGGCAGGUCACCACAUACGCGGACAGCCUGCUGCAAGGGAAGAAUCAGGGGAGAUGAGACGUAAAUCCCAGAACUAUGCCAAAUACAUAAAACCCCAAGUUAAGGGUCAGGCAGGGCACUUAGAUCUCUCAAGUUGCCUGCCUGACCCAAGUGUAGUGUACUUCCUUUUGUUCCUGCUCUAAAACUUUUUAAUAAACUCUCACUCCUGCUCUAAAACUUG
rnacentral:lncRNA from 1 species